AGAGUAACAUUUGCUACUAAAGACAAUGAUAAAGGAUGGCAAACAAGCUUAUCAAUCAGGUUUCUUCCUACAGAAGAAGAAGGAGAAAAGAAAGAGAUAGAGACACCCCAUUCCCAUUGCAUGAAACAUUAUUAGAUACCCGAAAAGAAAACAAAAAAAUAAUUGCCCAUAGGAAACAUACAAACUUAUAUGAGAAAAAGACUGCACCCUCUUUAUUGUGGCAACUUAUAUAUAUAUAUAUAUAUUACUUUGACAAGAAAGCUUUGAUCUUUCUCUGCUGUGUGAACUUGUCCAUAUACCAGGAAAAAAAAAAAAAACAGGCUGCAGAGAAGAUGAUAAUGGUUUAAAUUAGGCUUAUUGAAUGGCGAGCCAAAGAAUAGGAGGAGACACUGGUUUAUCAGAGUCACUGAUCACAAGUCAUCACCAUGCCUCUACUCAUGGAGUUCUUCAUGGAAUCAACACCCCAUCAGCAACCUUAAUGAAUGAAGGGGGAGCGUUUGAUUUUGGAGAGCUGGAAGAGGCAAUUGUUCUGCAAGGAAUCAAGACUAGAAAUGAUGAAGAAGCCAAAGCAGA